rnacentral:lncRNA from 1 species
CUUGCCGAGCUGCGGCGACGACGACGUCGAUGAUGAUGAGGCGACGGAGGCAGUGGCAGCGGCGGCGGCGGCGGCGGCGAUAACUGUGGAAUACUCCAUGCUCUAAUGAAGAAUUCGAAGCCAGUUAGCGAUAACAGGUAACGAUGACUAGGCGAAACAACGAGAAUUGUUCGCUAGCAGCCUUAACAUUGUCUUAUCACUUGACCGCUAUAACCGCUAUAACGUUCCCUCACUUGAGAGAUAGAAUGAAAAAUGUGCACAUUGCAUGAACAGAAAAAUAUUAUUGAGAAGAAGAAGAAGAAGAUGAAGGGAUUCUUAUUGAUCGUCGCUGGCAAGAGAUUUAAAUUCAAUCUCAAUGAUCAGAGAUCAAUGGGACGGGUCAGCCAUGAAAAGGACAAUGAGAGUUCAAUCAGAGGUGCUAAAAAUGAACGAAAAAAAAACAAAAUGAUGAAAAAAGGA